UUAAAUUUAGUUUAUAAAAAAUUAAUUAUUUACAUUAAUUAGAAAUUUUCAAAAUAAUUUAAA
rnacentral:tRNA from 2 species